GACGAACGCUGGCGGCGUGCUUAACACAUGCAAGUCGAGCGGUAAGGCCCUUUCGGGGGUACACGAGCGGCGAACGGGUGAGUAACACGUGGGUGACCUGCCCUCAGCUCUGGGAUAAGCCUGGGAAACCGGGUCUAAUACUGGAUAUGACUCCAUGACGCAUGUUGUGGGGUGGAAAGCCUUGUGCGGCUGAGGAUGGGCCCGCGGCCUAUCAGCUUGUUGGUGGGGUGANGGCCUACCAGGGCGACGACGGGUAGCCGGCCUGAGAGGGCGACCGGCCACACUGGGACUGAGACACGGCCCAGACUCCUACGGGAGGCAGCAGUGAGGAAUCUUGCGCAAUGGGCGAAAAGCCUGACGCAGCGACGCCGCGUGAGGGAUGACGG
rnacentral:rRNA from 1 species